UGGGGAAUUUUGGACAAUGGGCGAGAGCCUGAUCCAGCCAUGCCGCGUGCAGGAUGAAGGCCUUCGGGUUGUAAACUGCUUUUGUACGGAACGAAAAGACUCCUUCUAAUAAAGGGGGUCCAUGACGGUACCGUAAGAAUAAGCACCGGCUAACUACGUGCCAGCAGCCGCGGUAAUACGUAGGGUGCGAGCGUUAAUCGGAAUUACUGGGCGUAAAGCGUGCGCAGGCGGUUAUAUAAGACAGUUGUGAAAUCCCCGGGCUCAACCUGGGAACUGCAUCUGUGACUGUAUAGCUAGAGUACGGUAGAGGGGGAUGGAAUUCCGCGUGUAGCAGUGAAAUGCGUAGAUAUGCGGAGGAACACCGAUGGCGAAGGCAAUCCCCUGGACCUGUACUGACGCUCAUGCACGAAAGCGUGGGGAGCAAACA
rnacentral:rRNA from 1 species